UACGUAGGGGGGCUAGCGUUGUCCGGAAUCAUUGGGCGUAAAGCGCGUGUAGGCGGUCCGGUAAGUCCGCUGUGAAAGUCGAGGGCUCAACCUCGAAUGCCGGUGGAUACUGUCGGGCUUGAGUACGGGAGAGGCGAGUGGAAUUCCUGGUGUAGCGGUGAAAUGCGCAGAUAUCAGGAGGAACACCGGUGGCGAAGGCGGGUCUCUGGGCCGAUACUGACGCUGAGGAGCGAAAGCGUGGGGAGCGGACAGG
rnacentral:rRNA from 1 species